CAGCCGUAAACUAUGCGCGUUAGGUGUACUGGUGACCACGAGUCACCGGGGUGCCGAAGGGAAACCGUGAAACGUGCCGCCUGGGAAGUACGGUCGCAAGGUUGAAACUUAAAGGAAUUGGCGGGGGAGCACCACAACGGGUGGAGCCUGCGGUUUAAUUGGAUUCAACGCCGGACAUCUCACCGGAUAAGACAGCUGAAUGAUUGUCAAUCUGAAGGUUUUACAUGACUAGCUGAGAGGAGGUGCAUGGCGUCAGUGACU
rnacentral:rRNA from 1 species